GGGGCAUAAGCGCUAAAGCAACAAGACAAUAGAAGCCUACAUCUUGCCCGAGAUAAUUAGCUUACAUGCUGAUGACAAGGGGUUGAAGCCGGACAGCUGCAGACUGAGGCGAUCCGCGGCGCCCUCUACUGGUCACCAGUAGGAAUGUAUCUCUACAGCCUCUUGGGGAAGCUUUGCAAGUAAUUAGGUCAUAGAAAGGAGGACUGGAAUUUUCUCUUCGAGUCUGAGGGCAAGUGGACAUGCAUUUGGUGAUGAAGGGGCUUUUUACUUUCCGCACUUCCAAAGCCUGAAGCAAUGAGAGGCCUGCACUGCUUGUGGAGGACAGAAGAGGGCAUCAGGUCCCCUGGAACUGGAGUUAAAGAAGGUAGUGGGCCACUAUUGUGAAUGCGGGAAACAGUAUCAGGUCCUGUAGAAGGGCAGCAAGUGCUCUAAGUGGCUGCUGGUGGUGGUAUUGAGUGCCCACUGGAAAAUGUAGGAAGACAGCCUCAAUGAAAGAGUCGUUCUUUUAUCUGCAACAUUCCCGUUUGUAACUACUCCUAAGAUAAAAUGCAUAGGUUCUGUUGACUGGUUUUUAUUUAUUUUACAUAUGUGAGUACACCACUGUAGCUGUCUUAGACUCACCAGAAGAGGACAUCGGAUCCCAUUACAGAUGGUUGUGAGCCACCACGUGGUUGCUGGGAAUUGAACUCAGAGCUCUGGAAGAGCAGUCGGUUCUUCUAACCUCUGAGUCAUCUCUUCAUCUCGCUCUAUCACUUUUAAUAAAUAAAUUAAGAAGAACUUUAAGCUUGAGAAAUGUAUUUUAAGCGUAUGUUCCAUUCUGUAAUUCUGUGCUAAUGUUGAUAUUCAGAACUUCUGUGCUUGAACAAUUAAAUGAAUACGUGAAUGGAUGAAUGAAUGAAUGAAUGAAUACAUGAUUGAAUUAAUCAUCAUUGAGUGUAGGAUGAAUUGGAGGGGAGGUGUAGGGUUAAUUGAUCAAAACACAUUUCAUAUGUCAUAUUUCUCAAACACAAAUAAAAAUAUACUUAAAAAACAACUACCUGGAGGGGCUGAGGAGAUGGUUCAGUGGUUAAGAGCACUGACUGCUCUUCCAG
ensembl:lncRNA LOC102552092 uncharacterized LOC102552092